rnacentral:lncRNA from 1 species
UUUUAACCAAGAAAUUCAAGAGUAAUUGGAGACUGCUACUUGUUGUGUUAUAAAUUGUAUUUUGAAUCAAAUGGCUUAUGAUAAUGUAGGCAUGAUUGGCUGGAUUGGUAAAUGUGUUGAAAAUGUAUGAACUGUUGAUUUGCCUUGAGAGGCUAUAAAAUAAAAUAAUUGGCAUGUCAUGCUAUUGCAAAUUUUAUUGUAUGGUGGGUUUAGCUUG